rnacentral:rRNA from 1 species
UACGUAGGGUGCGAGCGUUGUCCGGAAUUAUUGGGCGUAAAGGGCUCGUAGGCGGUCUGUCGCGUCGGGAGUGAAAACUCAGGGCUUAACCCUGAGCCUGCUUCCGAUACGGGCAGACUAGAGGUAUGCAGGGGAGAACGGAAUUCCUGGUGUAGGCGGUGGAAUGCGCAGAUAUCAGGAGGAACACCGGUGGCGAAGGCGGUUCUCUGGGCCAUAACUGACGCUGAGGAGCGAAAGCAUGGGGGAGCGAACAGG